GUGUUGUAUGAAAGGAGUGAAGGUUAGAAUUAGUCUUCUCAUUCUUGAAAUUGUUAUCAUUCAUAUACAUAUAGACAAGGGAAGCAACGUACUCCUAUUUAUCUGAUAUUUUUC
ensembl:snRNA